AAUUAGAGGGGCCCGCACAAGCGGUGGAGCAUGUGGUUUAAUUUCGACGCAACGCGAAGAACCUUACCAGGGCUUGACAUCCCCUGACCGCGUAUGAAAGUACGUUUUCACCUCGGGUGACAGGGAGACAGGUGGUGCAUGGUUGUCGUCAGCUCGUGUCGUGAGAUGUUGGGUUUAAGUCCCGCAACGAGCGCAACCCCUACGUUUAGUUGCUAACGCGUGAAGGCGAGCACUCUAGACGAACUGCCGUUGACAAAACGGAGGAAGGUGGGGAUGACGUCAAAUCAUCAUGCCCCUUAUGUUCUGGGCUACACACGUGCUACAAUGGCCGGUACAGACGGACGCAAAGCCGCGAGGUGGAGCAAAUCCUAAAAAGCCGGUCUCAGUUCGGAUUGCAGGCUGCAAUUCGCCUGCAUGAAGUCGGAAUCGCUAGUAAUCGCAGGUCAGCAUACUGCGGUGAAUACGUUCCCGGGCCUU
rnacentral:rRNA from 1 species